rnacentral:rRNA from 1 species
AUACGGAGGGGGCUAGCGUUGUUCAGAAUUACUGGGCGUAAAGGGCGCGUAGGCGGCGCGAACAGUCAGGCGUGAAAGCCCCGGGCUUAACCUGGGAACUGCGUUUGAUACUGCCGCGCUAGAGAUCGGGAGAGGGUAGUGGAAUUCCCAGUGUAGAGGUGAAAUUCGUAGAUAUUGGGAAGAACACCAGCGGCGAAGGCGGCUACCUGGACCGAUUCUGACGCUGAGGCGCGAAAGCGUGGGGAGCAAACAGGAUUAGAAACCCCAGUAGUCC